GAGGGUAUAGCUCAGUGGUAGAGCAUACAUACUCAGCAUGCACGAGGUCCUGGGUUCAAUCCCCGAUACCUCCA
rnacentral:tRNA from 1 species